GAUGAACGCUGGCGGCGUGCCUAAUACAUGCAAGUCGAGCGAACAGAUGAGGAGCUUGCUCCUCUGACGUUAGCGGCGGACGGGUGAGUAACACGUGGAUAACCUACCUAUAAGACUGGGAUAACUUCGGGAAACCGGAGCUAAUACCGGAUAAUAUAUUGAACCGCAUGGUUCAAUAGUGAAAGACGGUUUUGCUGUCACUUAUAGAUGGAUCCGCGCCGCAUUAGCUAGUUGGUAAGGUAACGGCUUACCAAGGCAACGAUGCGUAGCCGACCUGAGAGGGUGAUCGGCCACACUGGAACUGAGACACGGUCCAGACUCCUACGGGAGGCAGCAGUAGGGAAUCUUCCGCAAUGGGCGAAAGUUUGACGGAGCAACGCCGCGUGAGUGAUGAAGGUCUUCGGAUCGUAAAACUCUGUUAUUAGGGAAGAACAAAUGUGUAAGUAACUAUGCACGUCUUGACGGUACCUAAUCAGAAAGCCACGGCUAACUACGUG
rnacentral:rRNA from 1 species